rnacentral:rRNA from 1 species
CAAUAGCGUAUAUUAAUGUUGUCGCAGUUAAAAAGCUCGUAGUUGGAUUUCGGGCGGGGCAUGCCGGUCCGCUCUUUGAGUGUGCACUGGCAGGCGUCGUCUUUCUGUCGAGGACGCGCUUCUGGUCUUUUACUGAUCGGGACGCGGAGUCGGCGAAGUUACUUUGAAAAAUUAGAGUGUUCAAAGCGGGCUUUCGCUUGAAUAUAUUAGCAUGGAAUAAUGGAAUAGGACGCUGGUUCUAUUUUGUUGGUUUUGAGAACCAGAGUAAUGAUUAAUAGGGACAGUUGGGGGCAUUCAUAUUUCAUUGUCAGAGGUGAAAUUCUUGGAUUUAU